UACGAAGGGUGCAAACGUUGCUCGGAAUUAUUGGGCGUAAAGCGCACGUAGGCGGCAUUGCAAGUCGGAUGUGAAAUCCCUCGGCUCAACCAAGGAAGUGCAUCCGAAACUGCUGUGCUUGAGUACUUAAGAGGAUCGCGGAAUUCCCGGUGUAGAGGUGAAAUUCGUAGAUAUCGGGAGGAGCACCAGUGGCGAAGGCGGCGAUCUGGGAAGAUACUGACGCUGAGGUGCGAAAGCGUGGGGAGCAAACAGG
rnacentral:rRNA from 1 species